GGGGCCAGCUACACAUGCAGUCGAACGGUAACAGGAAGCAGCUUGCUUCUUUGCUGACGAGUGGCGGACGGGUGAGUAAUGUCUGGGAAACUGCCUGAUGGAGGGGGAUAACUACUGGAAACGGUAGCUAAUACCGCAUAACGUCGCAGACCAAAGAGGGGGACCUUCGGGCCUCUUGCCAUCGGAUGUGCCCAGAUGGGAUUAGCUAGUAGGUGGGGUAACGGCUCACCUAGGCGACGAUCCCUAGCUGGUCUGAGAGGAUGACCAGCCACACUGGAACUGAGACACGGUCCAGACUCCUACGGGAGGCAGCAGUGGGGAAUAUUGCACAAUGGGCGCAAGCCUGAUGCAGCCAUGCCGCGUGUAUGAAGAAGGCCUUCGGGUUGUAAAGUACUUUCAGCGGGGAGGAAGGGAGUAAAGUUAAUACCUUUGCUCAUUGACGUUACCCGCAGAAGAAGCACCGGCUAACUCCGUGCCAGCAGCCGCGGUAAUACGGAGGGUGCAAGCGUUAAUCGGAAUUACUGGGCGUAAAGCGCACGCAGGCGGUUUGUUAAGUCAGAUGUGAAAUCCCCGGGCUCAACCUGGGAACUGCAUCUGAUACUGGCAAGCUUGAGUCUCGUAGAGGGGGGUAGAAUUCCAGGUGUAGCGGUGAAAUGCGUAGAGAUCUGGAGGAAUACCGGUGGCGAAAGCGGCCCCCUGGACGAAGACUGACUGCUCAGUGCGAAGUCGUGGGGAGCAAAACAUGAUUAGAUACUCUGGUUCUCCACGGCGGUGAAACCAUCUCGACUGAGUUGUGCCCUUGAGGCUGGCUUCCGGACCUAACGCGUAAGUCGACCGCCCGUGGGAGUACGGGCGGAGGGU
rnacentral:rRNA from 1 species